rnacentral:rRNA from 1 species
GAACCCCUACGGGACGCAGCAGUGAGGAAUAUUGGUCAAUGGCCGAGAGGCUGAACCAGCCAAGUCGCGUGAGGGAAGACGGCCCUACGGGUUGUAAACCUCUUUUGUCGGGGAGCAAAGCGAGUCACGUGUGACUCAUUGAGAGUACCCGAAGAAAAAGCAUCGGCUAACUCCGUGCCAGCAGCCGCGGUAAUACGGAGGAUGCGAGCGUUAUCCGGAUUUAUUGGGUUUAAAGGGUGCGCAGGCGGAGGGGCAAGUCAGCGGUCAAAUUGCGGGGCUCAACCCCGUACUGCCGUUGAAACUGC